rnacentral:rRNA from 1 species
UACGUAGGGUGCGAGCGUUAAUCAGAAUUACUGGGCGUAAAGCGUGCGCAGGCGGCUUUGCAAGACAGAUGUGAAAUCCCCGGGCUCAACCUGGGAACUGCAUUGGUGACUGCAAGGCUAGAGUACGGCAGAGGGGGAUGGAAUUCCGCGUGUAGCAGUGAAAUGCGUAGAUAUGCGGAGGAACACCAAUGGCGAAGGCAAUCCCCUGGGCCUGUACUGACGCUCAUGCACGAAAGCGUGGGGAGCAAACAGG